rnacentral:hammerhead_ribozyme from 1 species
AUCCAUAUGACGAGUCCCAACUAGGACGAAACGCGCGUCAAACUUGAU